rnacentral:pre_miRNA from 1 species
UGAUAGUGUUCCAAUGGCCACUGCAAUGAUAAAUCAUGAUAGUGUUCCAAUGGCCAAUUCCAUUAUUGCAGUGGCCUUGGAACACUAUCAUGAUUUAUCAUUGCAGUGGCCAUUAGAACACUAU